UUUCUUAUCCUCACAGGCAUGUCAUACAUAGCUGGUAUGUUUCUAAUGAAUAUGAAUGAAGAGGAUUCCUUUUGGUGCUUGGUAUCGAUGUUUGAAAGGCCAAAGUAUUUAGCUGGUUAUUUCAGUGAUUCUCUUGACAAAAUUCAAAAGCAUACUGGCGUUUUUCGGAGACUGAUGAGGCAAAGAAGGCCAAAACUUGGCAAACAUUUGG